GACGAACGCUGGCGGCGUGCUUAACACAUGCAGGUCGAACGGAAAGGCCUGCUUUCCCUUGUGGAUUGCGGGUACUCGAGUGGCGAACGGGUGAGUAACACGUGAGUGAUCUGCCCCCAACUUGGGUAUAAGCCUGGGAAACUGGGUCUAAUUCCCGAUAGGACUGCAGGGUGGUGCCUGUGGUGGAAAACGAUUUUCUAGUGGUUGGGGAUGAGCUCGCGGCCUAUCAGCUUGUUGGUGGGGUAAUGGCCUACCAAGGCGGCGACGGGUAGCCGGCCUGAGAGGGUGGACGGCCGCAUUGGGACUGAGAUACGGCCCAGACUCCUACGGGAGGCAGCAGUGGGGAAUAUUGCACAAUGGGCGGAAGCCUGAUGCAGCGACGCCGCGUGGGGGAUGACGGCCUUCGGGUUGUAAACUCCUUUCGACCGCGAGGAAGCCACCUGGUUGGAAGGGUGGUGACGGUAGUGGUAGAAGAAGCACCGGCUAACUACGUG
rnacentral:rRNA from 1 species